UGGGACACACAUAUCCGGACCGUGCCAGGACCGAGACACGGCCGGGUGGCGCUCGUCCCUCGGUACGUUUGUCUUCAAGCCACACUCUUCCGGGUCUCGCCAGUGUUCCGUUCGUUUCCAUUGCUGUGACAUUGAAAUAUCUGUCGUCUUAUUUUUUUUUUUAAUAGUUAAAAUGUUUAGUAGUUUUCGAAAUAGUGACUUGGGCAUGAUAGCCCUUGCUUUAGAGGAGGAAGAGAAUGAAACAAGAAUGAGAAAGCCAAGUAACAGAAAUAUAUGGGUUCACAGUGCAUGGAAGGCAAGAUCUCUACAAGGGGAGUUUCGAACGCUAUUCCCUCUUCUCAUCGAUGAUGAGACAAAAUUUUACGAGUAUUUCAGGAUGACAUAAUUUACAUUCCAUCAACUACUAAACAAACUUGAAGCAGAAUUGAAAAAAAAUGAUACUUUUUGGAGACCAUCAAUUUCUCCCACACAACGCCUGGCUGUAUUUUUAAGAUUCCUUGCUACAGGAGAUUCUUUCAAAACGAUUUUCUUUAGCUACAGGCUGGGAAAAUCAACAGUUGCAUCCAUUAUCCAUGACACCUCUAAAGCAAUAAUCAAUGUUUUGUUAGAUGAGGUUAUGCCUGUACCGAAAGAAAAUGAAUGGAAUGCUAUAGCGGAAGAAUUUUGGAGAAAAUGGCAGUUUCCAAAUUGCAUCGGGGCCAUAGAUGGGAAGCAUGUUGUAAUACAAGCUCCAAAAAACUCAGGAAGUCUUUAUUGGAAUUACAAGGAGACAUAUUCUAUUGUGCUGCUGGCCCUUGUUGAUCCGUGCUACAACUUUAUUGCAGUAGAUCUGGGAGCAUAUGGGAAAAACUCAGAUGGAGGUAUUUUGGCAAACUCAAAUCUUGGAAAGUCAUUAGAAAAUAACAAACUUAAUGUACCAAAAAUUAAAGCAUUACCUAACACUAAUAUUGAACUUCCAAUGGUAAUUGUUGGCGAUGAAGCUUUUCCUCUGAAAAGAUAUUUAAUGAGACCUUAUCCAGGAAGGAGCUUGGCAAAUGACAAAGCUAUUUUUAAUUAUCGUUUGAGUCGGGCAAGAAGAAUAUCGGAAAAUGCUUUUGGUAUCCUGCAACAGAAAUUUAGAAUAUUUAAUAGAACCCUCCAAGGAGAUCCUGGAAAUCUAACAAACAUCGUUAUGACUGCAUGUAUUUUGUACAACUUUAUUCGAAAAAUCGAAGGUUAUAAGGUUUCUGAACAGGUGUUGAACGAAAGUGAAGCAGAUAGAAAAUCUGACAGAUAUUCAAAUCUUCAAAACCUACCUCGGCUUCGUGGUAGAUCUACAGAUGCUGCAUUUGAUGUGCGAGAGCAACUGAAAACCUUUUUGAAUUCACCAGAAGGGAGUGUAGAAUGGCAAGAGGAGGUAGCGUUGAGACUUUAAUUACACAACCGUACUUUGUUUUUUUUUGUAAAAUUAAAAAUUAAGUAGUAUUAAGUAAAACUAGGAUAUCUACCUACUUAUAUAAUAAAAGUGAAUUGGCUAUA